CAUGAGGUCACAUAGGGGCCUGGUGAAUGUAUCAGGUAGGAGGUGAGGUCACACAGGGGUGUGGUGAAGGCAUGGUCUUCCAGCUCACAAACCUAAUUGAUUUUAACCUGUAUGCCUGCCUACUUCAUUCCCCUCUCAGAGACUCCACCCCUUAAUCCUAAGGAGCAUCGCUAGGCAGAUGGAGGAGAAAUGGAAGAGCCUGGACUCUGGCAUGCCAGCUUGGGAUGCAGGUGUCCCCGGUAGCAGCUUGAACCACUGCGGCACAACGCACGCUCCAAGAUGGAAUUUGUGAAAUGCAGAGAAAAAUAUAAAAUAUGCAUUUCAGGAUAUUAAAAGUAUGAAGAAGAGAAGAAAAGUAUUGAGGGAAA